rnacentral:rRNA from 1 species
GACGAACGCUGGCGGCGUGCCUAAUACAUGCAAGUAGAACGCUGAAGAGAGGAGCUUACUCUUCUUGGAUGAGUUGCGAACGGGUGAGUAACGCGUAGGUAACCUGCCUUGUAGCGGGGGAUAACUAUUGGAAACGAUAGCUAAUACCGCAUAACAAUGGAUGACACAUGUCAUUUAUUUGAAAGGGGCAAUUGCUCCACUACAAGAUGGACCUGCGUUGUAUUAGCUAGUAGGUGAGGUAAUGGCUCACCUAGGCGACGAUACAUAGCCGACCUGAGAGGGUGAUCGGCCACACUGGGACUGAGACACGGCCCAGACUCCUACGGGAGGCAGCAGUAGGGAAUCUUCGGCAAUGGGGGCAACCCUGACCGAGCAACGCCACGUGAGUGAAGAAGGUUUUCGGAUCGUAAAGCUCUGUUGUAAGUCAAGAACGGGUGUGAGAGUGGAAAGUUCACACUGUGACGGUAGCUGACCAGAAAGGGACGGCUAACUACGUG